AUUGAACGCUGGCGGCAGGCCUAACACAUGCAAGUCGAACGAGUGGCGGACGGGUGAGUCAUGUCUGGGAAACUGCCUGAUGGCGGGGGAUAACUCCUGGAAACGGUAGCUAAUACCGCAUACCAUCGGAUGUGCCCAGAUGGGAUUGGCUAGUAGGUGGGGUAACGGCUCGCCUAGGCGACGAUCCCUAGCUGGUCUGAGAGGAUGACAAGCCAAACGGGAACUGAGACACGGGCCAGACGCCGACGGGAGGCAGCAGUGGGGAAUAGUGCACAAUGGGCGAAAGCCUGAUGCAGCCAUGCCGCGUGUAUGAAGAAGGCCUUCGGGUUGUAAAGUACUGUCAGCGGGGAGGCGUUACCCGCAGAAGAAGCACCGGCUAACUCCGUGCCAGCCGCCGCGGUAAUUC
rnacentral:rRNA from 1 species